rnacentral:rRNA from 1 species
UACGUAGGUGGCGAGCGUUGUCCGGAUUUAUUGGGCGUAAAGCGCGCGCAGGCGGUCCAUCGCGUCCGGUGUGAAAUCUCCCGGCUCACCUGGGAGGGGGCGCUGGAAACGGAUGGACUGGAGGCAGGCAGAGGUCGGUGGAAUUCCCGGUGUAGUGGUGAAAUGCGUAGAGAUCGGGAGGAACACCAGUGGCGAAAGCGGCCGACUGGGCCUGUCCUGACGCUGAGGCGCGAAAGCGUGGGGAGCGAACCGG